GAGCUGGCAGGGCUGUUAUGGGCAGGGAUGGAUCCUGGCAGUGCUGUUAUGGACUGGGAUGGGUCCUGAGCAGGUUCUCCUCCAGCUUGCGCUGCCUGCCAGGGGCACAGGGCAGUGUGGGCACCUGGGGGCACCCCUGGGGACACCCCAGAGCCACCACAGGGAGCUGGCAGAGCCCUUAUGGGUUGGGAUGGAUCCUGGUGGCACCAUUAGGGACUGGGAUGGAUCCUGGUGGCACUGUUAGGGACUGGGCUGGAUUCUGAGCAGGUUCUCCUCCAGCUUGUGCUGCCUGCCAGGGGCACAGGGCAGUGUGGGCACCUGGGGGCACCCCUGGGGUCACCCCAGAGCCACCAGAGAGAGUGGGCAGGGCUGUUAUGGGCAUGGAUGGGUCCUGGUGGCACCAUUAUGGACAGGGACAGGUCCUGGCAGUGCCAUUAUGGACAGGAACAGGUCGUGGCUGUGUCCUUAUGGACAUGGCUGGGUCCUGGCCAUGCCAUAAUGGGCAUGGAUGGGUCCUUGCAGUGUCAGUAUGGACAGGGACGGGCCCUGGCAAUGCCAUUAAGGACAGGCGCAGGUCCUGGCAAUGCCAUUAUGGACUGGAGCAGGUCCUGGUGGUGUCAUUAAGGACAGAGACAGGUCCUGGCAGUGUAAUUUUGGACAGGGAUGGAUGCUGGCAGUGCCAUUAUGGACAGGGAUGGGGCCCAGCUGCAGCCCAAGGGCAGAGCCCAGCAAUGCUGGGAAUGGGGUCCCAGAGGAGGAUGCUCAGGGAGGAAGGGCAGCUCCAUGUGCCCGCCUGGGACCCUCAGAGCGAGCAGAGAACAGAUUCUGCCACAGCUGGAAGUGGAUUUUGGAAAGGGGCCGGUCACCCUGAAGCUGUCAUGGAAAACCAACAACCCUGUCUGGGUGAGUCAAUGGCCCCCAGAGAAGCAGAAACAGAGUUCCCUCAAAUCUGGUCAAUGAACAAUCACAGAAAGGCCACAUCAAAGAAACCAACAGUCCCUCGCAGUGGGCAUGGGGCUCCCCUGCACCCCAAACCCUCACAGGGUUCCUGUGCACCCCGAACCCUCACAGGGGUCCCCUGCACCCCAAACCCUCACAGCAGUGGGCACAGGGUUCCUGGGAAACCCAAAACUUCACAGGGUUCCUCUGCACCCCAAACCCUCACAGAAAUGCUUUGGGCACCAUUUCCAUCC
rnacentral:lncRNA from 1 species